rnacentral:rRNA from 1 species
UAGCGUAGGGUCCGAGCCGGUUGUCCGGAAUUUGAUUGGGCGUAAAGAGCUCGUAGGCGGUUUGUCGCGUCUGCUGUGAAAUCCCGAGGCUCAACCUCGGGUCUGCAGUGGGUACGGGCAGACUGGAGUGCGGUAGGGGAGACUGGAAUUCCUGGUGUAGCGGUGAAAUGCGCAGAUAUCAGGAGGAACACCGGUGGCGAAGGCGGGUCUCUGGGCCGAUACUGACGCUGAGGAGCGAAAGCGUGGGGAGCGAACAGG